rnacentral:rRNA from 1 species
CACUGGAACUGAGACACGGUCCAGACUCCUACGGGAGGCAGCAGUAGGGAAUCAUCCGCAAUGGGCGAAAGCCUGACGGUGCAACGCCGCGUGAACGAUGAAGGUCUUCGGAUUGUAAAGUUCUGUUGUUAGGGAAGAACAAGUGCCGUUCGAAUAGGUCGGCACCUUGACGGUACCUAACCAGAAAGCCCCGGCUAACUACGUGCCAGCAGCCGCGGUAAUACGUAGGGGGCAAGCGUUGUCCGGAAUUAUUGGGCGUAAAGCGCGCGCAGGCGGUCUCUUAAGUCUGAUGUGAAAGCCCACGGCUCAACCGUGGAGGGUCAUUGGAAACUGGGGGACUUGAGUGUAGGAGAGGAAAGUGGAAUUCCACGUGUAGCGGUGAAAUGCGUAGAUAUGUGGAGGA